UUACGGCCACAUCACGUUGAAACAACGAUUCCCGUGCGAUUACUGAAGUUAAACAACGUCGGGACUGGUUAUUACCUAGAUGGGUGACCACUUGAGAGUAGCAAGUACUGUAA